GAUCUCUUCUUGGCGAAGCUUUUUCCCUAUGAACCUGGAAUCUUCUGAUACGGAUGUUAAAUUCCCCAAGAUGAAGAGGUGUCAGCCUGAUGGAAGGAGUGAUACGAGGACCUUCUUUUUCCUUUGAGCUGGGCUUUCUUUCUUAUUUGAAUCUGUGAAUUUGGCUAUCUACUGCUAGAGAUUUUGAAGAUGGUGCCAUCUAAAAUGAAGUCCCAUUGAAAGAAUGUGUUGUGAUGAAGAGCUGUUGAGUGAGUCACCACAAUCGUGUUGGCAAGGUGGGCUGUGGAGCAGGCCAGAUCCUUACGCUUGGCACGAGACAGCAAAAAGCAAAAGAGGAGAGAGAGAAGCUGGAGCCAGGAGCACUGCAGUGCUUGGCCAGCCAGCAGGGCUGGGCUGCAAGUGCUUUCCUUGGUUAAAGCUUUAACCGCUUCAGUAACACAACUCUGCCCAAGUGGAGACAUUUCCAUGCUGUGCCCUCAUCUGGGCACUGGGAGAUGGGCUUAAGGCAAACAUAGAGGAUGUGUUCUGUGCAAGGAAGGGGUCUGAAAGGUUUUUGCCUUGCCUCUUUCUAUUUUCCCCCUAUUUCCUCCUCUAUGUGAUGGUUAAAAAAACUUACAAUUUUAUGAAAGCUUUCGCCUGAGAGGGGCCCUUCGCAUCUCUAGUCCAGCACCUGCCCAAAGUUGCAGAAGGCUUUCUCUUGAAGAAUGAAGA